AACGGAGUUUUAACGGAAGUUUCGGAUGGAAGUUUAAAACUUAGUGGCGGACGGGUGAGUAACGCGUGGGUAACCUGCCUCAUACAGGGGGAUAACAGUUAGAAAUGACUGCUAACACCGCAUAAUAUAGCGAAACCGCAUGAUUUUGCUAUCAAAUAUUUAUAGGUAUGAGAUGGGCCCGCGUCUGAUUAGCUAGUUGGUGGGUAAAGCCUACCAAGGCGACGAUCAGUAGCCGGCUUGAGAGAGUGACCGGCCACAUUGGGACUGAGACACGGCCCAAACUCCUACGGGAGGCAGCAGUGGGGAAUAUUGGACAAUGGGGGAAACCCUGAUCCAGCGAACCGCCGCGUGAGUGAAGAAGUAUUUCGGUAUGUAAAGCUCUAUCAGCAGGGAAGAUAAUGACAGUACCUGACUAAGAAGCCCCGGCUAACUACGUGCCAGCAGCCGC
rnacentral:rRNA from 1 species